rnacentral:rRNA from 1 species
CCCUACGGGUGGCAGCAGUGAGGAAUAUUGGUCAAUGGGCGGGAGCCUGAACCAGCCAAGUCGCGUGAGGGAAGACGGUCCUAUGGAUUGUAAACCUCUUUAGGCGGGGAGCAAUGCCGGGCACGCGUGCCCGGAGGGAGAGUACCCGCAGAAUAAGCAUCGGUUAACUCCGUGCCAGCAGCCGCGGUAAUACGGAGGAUGCGAGCGUUAUCCGGAUUUAUUGGGUUUAAAGGGUGCGUAGGCGGAUUUUUAAGUCAGCGGUAAAAUGUCCGGGCUCAACCCGGGCCGGCCGUUGAAACUGGGGAUAGUGAGUGGGCGAGAAGUAUGCGGAAUGCGUGGUGUAGCGGUGAAAUGCAUAGAUAUCACGCAGAACUCCGAUUGCGAAGGCAGCAUACCGGCGCCCGACUGACGCUGAGGCACGAAAGCGUGGGGAUCGAACAGGAUUAGAUACCCCGGUAGUC